rnacentral:rRNA from 1 species
AGCGAACGCUGGCGGCAGGCCUAACACAUGCAAGUCGAACGAAGUCUUCGGACUUAGUGGCGGACGGGUGAGUAACACGUGGGAACGUACCUUUUGGUUCGGAACAACUCAGGGAAACUUGAGCUAAUACCGGAUGAGCCCUUAGGGGGAAAGAUUUAUCGCCGAAAGAGCGGCCCGCGUUAGAUUAGGUAGUUGGUGAGGUAAAGGCUCACCAAGGCUACGAUCUAUAGCUGGUCUGAGAGGAUGAUCAGCCACACUGGGACCGAGACACGGCCCAGACUCCUACGGGAGGCAGCAGUGGGGAAUCUUGCGCAAUGGGCGAAAGCCUGACGCAGCCAUGCCGCGUGAAUGAUGAAGGUCUUAGGAUUGUAAAAUUCUUUUACCAGGGACGAUAAUGACGGUACCUGGAGAAAAAGCCCCGGCUAACUUCGUGCCAGCAGCCGCAGUAAAAC